UCCGUUAUGGUCUAGGGGUUAGGAUCACCCGCUUUCAUACCAAUGAACCGGGUAGGCCCGGGUUCGAUUCCCGGUAACGGAA